rnacentral:rRNA from 1 species
CGCGUGCAGGAAGACUGCCCUAUGGGUUGUAAACUGCUUUUAUACGGGAAGAAACCGAUCCACGUGUNNNNNNCUGACGGUACUGUAAGAAUAAGGAUCGGCUAACUCCGUGCCAGCAGCCGCGGUAAUACGGAGGAUCCAAGCGUUAUCCGGAAUCAUUGGGUUUAAAGGGUCCGUAGGUGGAUAAUUAAGUCAGAGGUGAAAGUCUGCGGCUCAACUGUAGAAUUGCCCUUGAUACUGGUUAUCUUGAAUUAUUGUGAAGUGGUUAGAAUAUGUAGUGUAGCGGUGAAAUGCAUAGAUAUUACAUAGAAUACCAAUUGCGAAGGCAGAUCACUAACAAUAUAUUGACACUGAUGGACGAAAGCGUGGGGAGCGAACAGGAUUAGAUACCCUGGUAGUCCACU